rnacentral:miRNA from 1 species
UACUGGGUUGGUGCAAAAGUAAUUGUGGUUUUUGCAUUAAAAGUAAUGGCAAAACCGCAAUUACUUUUUCACCAACCU